UGCAUUCUUACAAGACAUUUGUUUAAAUUUCUUCAAGCACAUGCAGAUAUUUGAUGAUCUUUUAUAAGAAAAAAAUUUUUUUAAAAAAAGAAAAAUUUAAGGUAGCCUCAAAAAUGUGUCUUUAUGGUAUCGUAGUCAUCAAUUUAAUUCCACAGUUCUAGGUCUUGGGCCUUCAUGAGAUAAUACUGGAAGUCCACUCAAAGGGAAUGGGAUAAUUCUGAUGCCCUAAAGAAAAUUCAAAUGUAAUCAGACUGUUUGGAAGGUAGUAAACAUGUAAAUCAUAUGUUCAGUAUAAAAUGUCAGCAUUUUGUUAGGGUUACCCGAGCACUCCUAUCCAUCCUGAAGUACCCAUCAUUCUGUUCCUUGUGCCUCUGUGAUGCUUUCCUCUUUCCCCAGUAGGACACUGGGCACUGGAUGCAUGUCAGUUCCUUCUGUCCACCAAGCUUGCCCUAGAGCAGAGCUGAGCUUUUAAAGCCCUGUUCUUUGCACAGAACAUGACUCAUCAUAGGUUCUCAGCGAACGCCUAGAGAAGUGACUAUCAAUCUGUUUUGACUGAAAUUCAGUCUCAAAUACAUUUUAAGUAUGACACAGUAGAUGCACAGGGAUGACUCUGUAUAAAUUGGAACAAAAGUUUUGUGAAAAAAAAAUAGUUAAUCUUUCUAUGUACCAUCCAUAGAUAUUUCCUAGUUUACUUUGUUUCAUUUUUUAAAAAUAUUGGUCAAGACCAUUAAAUUGAUUCCAAACUUACUAACUAUGCUUUUAAAUUGUAGAAAUUACCCAGAUGCCAAUGAUCAGUUAAUUGGCUUACUUAGGAUUGGUACAAUACAAAAAUAAUCUUUCAAAUAUUGGUUUCCCUAGAAUCUGUUAUGGUUACUGUUGGUAGGUAAGAAUUAUUACUAUGAAUGUUCCGUCAACUUCCUACCAGCCGAUUGCCCACUUAAGAAGGCAGGACAGUGUCAGGCCCCACAUUGUUUAUUCCCUGCUGUCCUCUACAGUUACCUGUGUUAGUCCCUUGUACUCUCUGAAGAUCCUUGGGCCAAUUCUGAAGAACAAAAUGAACAGAAAGUCAGUGAAGAUUCCUGAGAUGUGAUGUGCAGAAAAAGAGUCUUGGCUUUUUCCUCCUGAUUUACAUGCAACAAAUGCUCUGGCAAGACAGCAGCUCGUUGCACGUGUGAGGGAGCUGGUCGGUGGGUCUGCGUCUCCUGCACAGGCAGUGGGAAGCUCAGGAUGGGACAAGUGUCUGACCGCCUCGUCCACAGCUCUCCACCUGGCACCUUUUCCAAAGUAAUUUCAAAGAAAAGAGAAUUUUGAGUAGGCUUGUGAUAAGUAGGACCAGGGCUGUCCACUUCAGCAUGGUGGUGGACUUUGAAAGCUCUCCAACAAGUUUCUGGAGCAAGUGACCCUGGUCUUUAAAACGUCGCAUGCCCACCUGGCCCCCAUGAGACCAAGCCGCGCACCCUCCAUACAGGCCCAGUGCCUGAAGGCCAAGUGGAAACAUCUUGAAAUUUCAUAGAGCACAUGUGACUGGAAACAGAACCAGCCAGAGAGAGCAGGAGACAAUGGUGAGGGCCCACCUGCCCGUAUGCCAAUUCCUGUCUCUCUUCCUCAAACCUGGAAAUAUUGUAUAUCUUGUUUCUUGAGUCGUUUCAUUAUUAUUUUGCCAUUAAAAUGUAAUUAAAAUGUAAUUGCCUUCAGAAAAGUAUGAAGGCAGUGGGAAAAACAAAAGAGAUCGGUGACUGCCAGAGUUUGCGGGGAGGGAAAGAUGAACAGACAAAGCGCAGAGGACUGUUAGGGCGGUGACACUGCUCUGCACGUACUGGGACGAUGGGUACGCGUCAUCAUACGUUUGUCACAGAAUAUCCUGGACACCGAGAGUGACCCCCAGCGUAGACUGAUAACGAUGCGUCCACGUGGGUUCAAUGCACCACUGUGGCAAGGGAUGUUAAUAGUGGGGAAGGCCACGUGUGUGCAGGGACAGGGGCUAAAUGGGGAAUCCGUGUUCUCCCCUCAAUUUUGCUGCUCUUUAAAAAAAAAUUAUUAAAAAUCAUUUAACUAAUAAUAGUUAUUUUACUUGACUAAUAAUGAUGUCU
ensembl:lncRNA